CAGGGCGCCCGGCCUCGCAGAGAGGACUCGGGGCUGGCCUUCGCGAACAAUGGGCAGGCGGCAGCGGAGGCCGCCCCUCAGACAGCUGGCUUUCAGCCGGGCUUGCCGGGUCUGCUAACUGGAAAGUGAGGCGUGCAGAGGCGAGCGGGAGACCCGGGGCAGAAGCAGAGAGGAGCGGCCGGGGACGGCGAGGCGAGCCCGCUGGCUGCAGCGUCCCUGACCCGCGCCGCUCCGGCCCAAGCCUCCGCCACUGACAGCUACACCGCCGCAGCCGGCGAGUUGGAGCAAAGCGGGAUCACCGAGCCUGGGGAUGGACCGGGAAGAGGGGUGGAAUCCAGCCUACACAACAGCCCGAAGGGAGCGGACGGAAUAAAGAGCUCGGUCUCCCCGGCCUCCGAGUCCGAAAAUACCUUCAUCUCCUCGUUGAUCUCCCUCUUCACAGGGUGAGCGGGUUUCCGGCUUCUUUUAUUUUCCGGAGGUCUCCCUUCUUUCUCCAUUUCUGCCAUGUUUUUGUGUCUGGUUUCUGUGGAGAUGAAAUGGCUGCUGCCGCCGC
rnacentral:lncRNA from 1 species